ensembl:lncRNA
GGGAUCUGUCCUCCCGCUCUCGCCAUCAUUCCGCUUAUGCAAGGCACAUUCCUCCCACGGAGACUAACUGGUGCUGGAGACCUACCGUAACACUGCUGUCACGGGGGUGCAGAUCCUUAUUGCCAUGGCGACUGUGCCUCUCCCCCGACUGCUCCCCGGGAUUCUACAGCUUUCUCUCCUCAUCUGGAAUAUCAGCUGCCAAACUCCGGGACGGAUUCAGGGACGCGCACUUUGAGUCAGCCAGACCUCAUCGUCUGAAUCUACAGAAGUGUCCACGCACAGAGCUGCCAUGGGGGCUUCAGUGAGGGCAAGAGUCUUUUUGAAAGAUAAGUGUCCCCUUGCCAGGCUAGCUAAGCAUCAGGUUCAUGGGCACCACAGUCAUCACCCUGGAGGAAGUGCAGGCGCUGGAGGACAAGGAGGAGCAAGAGGAAUCCACCCUGGCCUUGUUAGGCAUCAUUGGCACGUUCCUUAACCUCUUUGUAAUUGUUUUUGUUUACGUUUACACCACGCUGUGAAGUGCAAACCUUAUUAGGCUCUAAAAACCUGUCGCCAGAAAAGACUUCUCUAAGAAAUUAGGGAUGUUGGGCGGUGAUCUGUCGCACAAGCCGUGUGACUUUUGACCUUUCCUGUCAUGUGUGUGCCAAUAAAACAUUGAGGGGA